GAGAUCGGGAUAACACCUGGAAACAGAUGCUAAUACCGGAUAACAACAGAUGAUGCCUAUCAACUGUUUAAAAGAUGGUUCUGCUAUCACUCUUGGAUGGACCUGCGGUGCAUUAGCUAGUUGGUAGGGUAACGGCCUACCAAGGCGAUGAUGCAUAGCCGAGUUGAGAGACUGAUCGGCCACAUUGGGACUGAGACACGGCCCAAACUCCUACGGGAGGCAGCAGAU
rnacentral:rRNA from 1 species